GCUAGUAACAACAGCAGCUUAUAGGUAAGCAAAGACAAAUGCUCAGGCAAUGACAUCCAGAGAUCAGGAGAUGAAAUGAACAUCUCCCUAAAAGAGCUGCAAGUGGCAUCUUUUUACAGACAGAAAUUCCAUUUGGGAUACAGACUUAGAAGAGUUUGUUGUGUGAGAGGCUUAUUCUUUCUCCUGCUGGUAAGUUUUUCCAGCAUUACAAUGGGAAAUAAUAUCAGGAAAUCGAUGCCCAAGAUGGAGUGGUGAAAGAAAUAAAUUUAUAUAAUGCCCAUUAUAUGUCAGCUUAGGUUUGGACCUCAUCAAAAUGAUACUAAGUGAAGUGAGCAGAACCAAGACAACAUAGUGCACAGUAACAGUAAGAUUAUGUAAUGAUCAAC